AGUGAACGCUGGCGGCAGGCCUAACACAUGCAAGUCGAACGGCAGCACAGUAAGAGCUUGCUCUUACGGGUGGCGAGUGGCGGACGGGUGAGGAAUACAUCGGAAUCUACUUUUUCGUGGGGGAUAACGUAGGGAAACUUACGCUAAUACCGCAUACGACCUACGGGUGAAAGCAGGGGAUCUUCGGACCUUGCGCGAUUGAAUGAGCCGAUGUCGGAUUAGCUAGUUGGCGGGGUAAAGGCCCACCAAGGCGACGAUCCGUAGCUGGUCUGAGAGGAUGAUCAGCCACACUGGAACUGAGACACGGUCCAGACUCCUACGGGAGGCAGCAGUGGGGAAUAUUGGACAAUGGGCGCAAGCCUGAUCCAGCCAUACCGCGUGGGUGAAGAAGGCCUUCGGGUUGUAAAGCCCUUUUGUUGGGAAAGAAAAGCAGCAGGUUAAUACCCCGCUGUUCUGACGGUACCUAAAGAAUAAGCACCGGCUAACUUCGU
rnacentral:rRNA from 1 species